UACGUAGGGGGCAUGCGUUAUCCGGAAUUACUGGGUGUAAAGGGAGCGUAGACGGUAAUGUAAGUCUGGAGUGAAAGGCGGGGGCCCAACCCCCGGACUGCUCUGGAAACUAUGUUACUAGAGUGCAGGAGGGGUAAGCGGAAUUCCUAGUGUAGCGGUGAAAUGCGUAGAUAUUAGGAGGAACACCAGUGGCGAAGGCGGCUUACUGGACUGUAACUGACGUUGAGGCUCGAAAGCGUGGGGAGCAAACAGG
rnacentral:rRNA from 1 species